rnacentral:rRNA from 1 species
CCUACGGGAGGCAGCAGUGGGGAAUAUUGCGCAAUGGGCGAAAGCCUGACGCAGCGACGCCACGUGAGGGAUGAAGGUCUUCGGAUCGUAAACCUCUGUCAGCAGGGAAGAACGGUCACUGUGCUAAUCAGCAGUGAAUUGACGGUACCUGCAAAGGAAGCACCGGCUAACUCCGUGCCAGCAGCCGCGGUAAUACGGAGGGUGCGAGCGUUAAUCGGAAUUACUGGGCGUAAAGCGCUCGUAGGCGGUAUGUCAAGUCAAGGGUGAAAUCCCCGCGCUCAACGUGGGAACUGCCUUUGAAACUGGCAGACUGGAGUGUGUGAGAGGAUAGUGGAAUUCCAGGUGUAGGAGGGAAAUCCGUAGAUAUCUGGAGGAACAUCAGUGGCGAAGGCGACUAUCUGGCACAUAACUGACGCUGAGGAGCGAAAGCGUGGGUAGCAAACAGGAUUAGAUACCCUUGUAGUC